AAGUCGUAACAAGGUUUCCGUAGGUGAACCUGCGGAAGGAUCAUUACAAAUCCCUCCUUUAUUACAACGUUGAACCACGUUCACUAGCGGAUCUAAUCUGCUAAUGAACAAACUAUAUGACACCAGUUUGUCGUGUUAACCAUUUGUAAACUCAGCUAUGAGAAACCUCAUUGCUUAUACAACACAACUUAUAACAAUGGAUCUCUAGGCUCUU
rnacentral:misc_RNA from 1 species